rnacentral:tRNA from 1 species
GGCCCUGUAGCUCAGUGGUCAGAGCAGGCGACUCAUAAUCGCUUGGUCGCGGGUUCGAGCCCCGCCGGGGCUA